rnacentral:lncRNA from 1 species
UGUGGUUCUGUGCUGUUCUCUGGGCUCUGCCACCAAAUACAGCAGCUGAGUGACCUAUCACUGAGAAAGACACAGUUCAUAAGACUAAGAGAGAAAGGUGAGGGUAAAGGGCCUUCUGUCGCUCCUGAGGGGGAAUCAGAGGAGAGAAUGAGGAAAACAGAUGGCUGUGAAUAAACAACCAGAGAAGAGCCUUGAGGUUGCUAGAUUCGGGUCAAGGUGUACGACUUCCCGUUAGAAUUCCAAUGCAGCACUGAGUAGAACUGAGGAUUAUGUAACAUCUUAUUAUGCCUGAUUUUUAAAAGCUAAAUUGAACUCCUGGGCUCAAGCGAUCUUCCCAUCUCUGCCUCCUGAGUAGCUGGGACUACAGAUACAUGCCUGGCUUACUUUUAUUAUUUUAUGCAUCCAUCUUAUAACUAAAAUUAUCCACUUUUAAGUGUUAAAGUUUCUUGCAGGGAAUCAAUUUUCUUUAUGAAUACACUUAGUUUAGAGCUUCUGAAUUUUCUUAUUUUUCUAGGUUCUAAUUUGGAUCUAGCUGUUGCACAGCGAUCACCCUAGAGUAUCUUUUCACGCUCUCCUGGGUUAACACUACUGUGUCUGUCACUUUCUUGCACUCCUUUGUUGUUUGGCUGGGGUGCAUACUUGAGUAGUGCUCUCAGAGAAGAUCACUAUUUGAUAAAUAUCAGAGUCUUUGCUUAUCCAUUAAUAUCUAGGUUUUAUUUUUAUUCUUGAUUGAUAGCUCAGGAAGCUAUAACCUUUUAUGUUAUUUCGUCAAAACUUAAAGGUAAUACUUUAUUGUCCUAUGGCAUUGAAGAUUGCUGAUUAAAAAUCUAAUGCCAAUAUGAUUCUGGUUCCUUUGUAGGCAACUUAUUCUGUCUGGAAACUUCAUAUUUGGCAUUCUAAAAUUUUAUGAUGAUAGCUCUAGGGUUGUGUAUGUGUGUGCUUUUUUUUUUUUUCCCCCAAGACGGAGUCUCACUCUGUCACCCAGGCUGGAGUGCAGUGGCACGAUCUUGGCUCACUGCAACCUUCGCCCCCAGGGAUCAAGUGAGUCUCCUGCCUCAGCCUCCUGAGUAGCUGGGAUUACAGGUGCCUGCCACUGCACCUGGCUAAUUUUUGUAUUUUUAGUAGAGACGGGGUUUCACCAUCUUGGCCAGGCUGGUCUUGAACUCCUGACCUCAUGAUGCACCCACCUUGGCCUCCCAAAGUGCUGGGAUUACAGGCAUGAGCCACCAUGCCUGGCCAUGUGUGUGCAUUUUAACUUAUCCUUUUCAUGACUUAGUGAUGCCUGGAGACUCACAUCUUUCUUUUGUUCUGGAAAAAUGUAAUAAUUUUCUUCUUGCCUGUUGUCCUCUUUUACUUGAACAUGUAUUAGGUGGAUAUUAGGAUUUUUGAAUUGAUCUUUUUAAGUCUCAACUUUUUAAGUGAUUUUUUUCUAAAUCUUUGCAUUUUAAAUUUAUAAUCCGAAAGAUCAGUGUUUUGCUUCUAGCUCUUUUAUUGAAUUUUUGAUUUUGUCAAUUGUAUUUUAAAAAUUCAAGAAUUAUUUUGUUACCUACUCUUUUUGGUGAGCAGCUUGUAUUUCUUUUCUUUUUUAAUGAAUAAACUAUAAAGUCUCUGAGAGAUAGUUUAGAAAGUUUUGAAGCUCUUUUCUAUUGUCUGCAUUAUCCAUUUCCUCUAGGGUCUUUUGUUUUUGUUUAUUUUAUUCGGUCUCUCUUGGUCUAUUUUUUCUACUAAUUAAUUACUAAUUGAUUGGUUAUAAAUAAUAUUCAUUUAGUUCUAAUUCUGAGCCAGACCCUGAGCAAGACAGAGUUUCUACCCUCAUGGAGCUUGCAUCAUAGGGCAGAAGUCACAAUUACCAUGUAUGUAAAUGGACACACAGGAAUUCCAAUUUGUA